UUAAACCUACGGGGGGCAGCAGUGGGGAAUAUUGGGCAAUGGGCGCAAGCCUGACCCAGCAACGCCGCGUGAAGGAAGAAGGCUUUCGGGUUGUAAACUUCUUUUAAGAGGGAAGAGAAGAAGACGGUACCUCUUGAAUAAGCCACGGCUAACUACGUGCCAGCAGCCGCGGUAAUACGUAGGUGGCAAGCGUUGUCCGGAUUUACUGGGUGUAAAGGGCGUGCAGCCGGGCUGACAAGUCAGAUGUGAAAACUAUGGGCUCAACCCAUAGCCUGCAUUUGAAACUGUAUUUCUUGAGUGC
rnacentral:rRNA from 1 species